rnacentral:rRNA from 1 species
UACGUAGGGUGCGAGCGUUAAUCGGAAUUACUGGGCGUAAAGCGUGCGCAGGCGGUUUUGUAAGUCAGAUGUGAAAUCCCCGGGCUUAACCUGGGAACUGCGUUUGAAACUACAAGGCUAGAGUGUGGCAGAGGGGGGUGGAAUUCCACGUGUAGCAGUGAAAUGCGUAGAGAUGUGGAGGAACACCGAUGGCGAAGGCGAGUCCCUGGACAACUUCUGACGCUGAGGCACGAAAGCUAGGGGAGCAAACAGG